rnacentral:rRNA from 1 species
GACGAACGCUGGCGGCGUGCUUAACACACGCAAGUCGAACUGUAAGGCCCUUCGGGGUACACGAGUGGCGAACGGGUGAGUAACACGUGGGUGAUCUGCCCUGCACUUUGGGAUAAGCCUGGGAAACUGGGUCUAAUACCGGAUAGGACUCCGGACUGCAUGGUCUGGGGUGGAAAGCUUUUGCGGUGUGGGAUGGGCCCGCGGCCUAUCAGCUUGUUGGUGGGGUGAUGGCCUACCAAGGCGACGACGGGUAGCCGGCCUGAGAGGGUGACCGGCCACACUGGGACUGAGAUACGGCCCAGACUCCUACGGGAGGCAGCAGUGGGGAAUAUUGCACAAUGGGCGCAAGCCUGAUGCAGCGACGCCGCGUGAGGGAUGACGGCCUUCGGGUUGUAAACCUCUUUCAGCAUCGACGAAGCGAAAGUGACGGUAGGUGCAGAAGAAGGACCGGUCAACUACGUGCCAGCAGCCGCGGUAA